UAUACCGCUAUGAUGAUAUUUACAAAUAAAUGAUUUGAUGAUUAAUGACGGGCAAGCUGAGCGGUAUA
rnacentral:snoRNA from 1 species